UGCAUGUUAAACUUGCAGCUGCCAUCAUGAAUUGGAGACUGCACGGAUUAAUGGGCUGCUUGGAAAUAUCGAUGCAAACACUGGUGAUCCUCAAGUUGGUUGGGACACAGAUCAGUUCAUGACAGACAUUGCAGAGGCUACUUUGGUUAUGUCAAGUGUAGUUAAGAAUGGUGGACUUGCACCUGGUGGUUUCAACUUUGAUGCCAAAUUGUCAGUACCUUUUGU